rnacentral:rRNA from 1 species
GGCUCGGUCGAGAGGCCGGCCCGUUGGCGUAGCGGAUCCUCGCUGUCGGCCGGAGUGUCCCAUUGUCGUGGUUUCGGUCGUCUGAUGUUGAUGUCCCACCUCGGUGGGAGUUGGCCUCUGGCGGUCGGGGUCGGGCACUCCCCUCCCCCUUUUGCCCCGUCUUUGGGGUAUCUGGGGCCGCUUUUUCAUAAGCACCUUGGAGAACAUGAAUUCAGAGACUGAGCCUGGGGCUCUGUUGCCUUUGCAGGUGAUGGGGCCCGAGUCGAAAACCAAAAUAACGACUCUCAGCAACGGAUAUCUUGGCUCUUGCAACGAUGAAGAACGCAGCGAAAUGCGAUACCUAGUGUGAAUUGCAGAAUUCCGCGAAUCAUCGAGUCUUUGAACGCAAGUUGCGCCCGAGGCUUGUCCCGAGGGCAUGCCUGCCUGAGCGUCACCGCACUCCCACCUGGACACCCUCCAGUGUGGAAUUGGCCGUCCGGGAUCCCUUGCCCAAGGGCUUUGGGUUGUGGUGGGCUGAAAUCUAGCUAUCUAGGCGUGGCCGAAGAGAGGGGCUGCGAGAAGGUGAUUCGCUCCCUUGCGGGGCGGAGUCUAGUUGGACAGCACCUCUCCCUUUGGUUGGUCCAGACGGCGGCACUCAGUGUGUCAUUGGGGGGAGUUGAAUCUCCCCCUCCCUUUACAGCUUGGACCUCAGAUCAGGCAAGAUUACCCGCUGAGUUUAAGCAUAUCACUAAGCGGAGGAAAAGAAACUAACUAGGAUCC